AACAAACCGACACACGAAAUUAAGGUAAUAAAUACAUCGCAAAAUAUUACCAGUCAAUAAAGUAUCUUGCCCAAUUUCAAACACUGCCACAGCAUGUAUGUUUUUUUUUAUUCAUGCAACAUUGUUUUACAUUUACCGGACUUGUAUUGCCUUGAAAAAAAUACAGUGAAACCACUACACUGUGCAGGCGGUGGCCGAGUGGUUAGCACAGGGACAUGGUGGUCUAGAUUCUCGAUGACCCGGGUUCUAGGUCUAUAUUUUUAAACAUUCUUGUGUCCAAUCUCACAUAUAUGACCCGGGUUCUAGGUCUAUAUUUUUAAACAUUCUUGUGUCCAAUCUCACAUAUAUGACCCGGGUUCUAGGUCUAUAUUUUUAAACAUUCUUGUGUCCAAUCUCACAUAUAUGACCCGGGUUCUAGGUCUAUAUUUUUAAACAUUCUUGUGUCCAAUCUCACAUAUAUGACCCGGGUUCUAGGUCUAUAUUUUUAAACAUUCUUGUGUCCAAUCUCACAUAUAUGACCCGGGUUCUAGGUCUAUAUUUUUAAACAUUCUUGUGUCCAAUCUCACAUAUAUGACCCGGGUUCUAGGUCUAUAUUUUUAAACAUUCUUGUGUCCAAUCUCACAUA